ensembl:lncRNA
CUCCAUCAAAAUGCUUAGCUUUGCUGCUAAACAGAGGAGUUGCUUUCGUUGUCUGGACUGUAUGAAAAUGUGAACAUCUUUGCAGCGUAUGCUGGGCGCAGGAGAUCUCAGUAUCCUAACACAAAGCCUCGAAACAGCAUGGCUCUGCUUGUUUUAACCAGCAGGGUCAGCAGUCAAGGCGGAGAGAUUAUCUUACUGGAGAGAAAAAAAGGAUCUGGUGAGAUCCUUCCUUAUCUCCCUUCCUUUCCUCCUUUCUUCCUCCCUCCUUCCCUUCUUUUUUUCAUGUCAUGGCCAGGCACUGAACCAUUACCAAGCAUAUAGAUAUAAACACAAAGUAAUUAAAAGACGCUUACUCCUUGGAAGGAAAGUUAUGACCAACCUAGACAGCAUAUUGAAAAGCAGAGACAUUACUUUGUCAACAAAGGUCUGUCUAGUCAAGGCUAUGGAUUUUCCAGUGGUCAUGUACGGAUGUGAGUUGGACUAUAAAGAAAGCUGAGUGGUGAAGAAUUGAUGCUUUUGAACUGUGGUGUUGGAGAAGACUCUGGAGAGUCCCUUGGACUGCAAGGAGAUCCAACCAGUCCAUCCUAAAGGAGAUCAGUCCUGGGUGUUCAUUGGAAGGACUGAUGUUGACCUGAAACUCCAGUAAUUUGGCCACCUGGUGUGAAGAGCUGACUCAUUGGAAAAGACCCUGAUGCUGGGAAAGAUUGAGGGCAGGAGGAGAAGAGGACGACAGAGGAUGAGAUGGUUGGAUGGCAUCACCGACUCAAUGGACAUGAGUUUAGGUGGACUCCGGGAGUUGGUGAUGGACAGGGAGGCCUGGCAUGCUGUGGUUCAUGGGGUCGCAAAGAGUCGGACAUGACUGAGCAACUGAACUGAAUUGAACCUUCCCUUAAGCAGUGCAUGUAGCCUACUGUAAUACAGAAACCAAAAGAAACUUAGCACAGUCUAUAAGACCUGGGGGUGGGGGUGGGGAGAAGAAGCUUUCUACUUUGGAGUUAUACAAAUGUUUAUCUGAACCACUGAUCCAAUAGGUGAGUAUGAAACUGAAAGGAUCUAAAGUACCAAAUGGUGGUUGAGUAAAUACAACAUCAGCGAAGCUGAAAUGCUUCUCUCUUAACUAGACAGUAGGUGAAUUUCCACUGAAAAAUAAAGAUUGUUAAAAAUAAUAACA